rnacentral:rRNA from 1 species
AGAGUUUGAUCCUGGCUCAGGAUGAACGCUAGCUACAGGCUUAACACAUGCAAGUCGAGGGGAAACGACGAAUCGAAAGCUUGCUUUUGAUGGUCGUCGACCGGCGCACGGUGAGUAACGCGUAUCCAGCCUGCCCAUCACUUGGGGAUAACCUUGCGAAAGUAAGACUAAUACCCAAUGAUAUCUCUAGAAGACAUCUGAAAGAGAUUAAAGAUUUAUCGGUGAUGGAUGGGGAUGCGUCUGAUUAGCUUGUUGGCGGGGUAACGGCCCACCAAGGCAACGAUCAGUAGGGGUUCUGAGAGGAAGGUCCCCCACAUUGGAACUGAGACACGGUCCAAACUCCUACGGGAGGCAGCA